GGUGUGGCCAAACGGUAAGGCAGCGGCCUGUUAAGCCGACGAGUGAAGGUUCGAUUCCUUCCAC
rnacentral:tRNA from 1 species